rnacentral:rRNA from 1 species
GAUGAACGCUGGCGGCGUGCCUAAUACAUGCCAGUCGAGCGAACAGACGAGGAGCUUGCUCCUCUGACGUUAGCGGCGGACGGGUGAGUAACACGUGGAUAACCUACCUAUAAGACUGGGAUAACUUCGGGAAACCGGAGCUAAUACCGGAUAAUAUAUUGAACCGCAUGGUUCAAUAGUGAAAGACGGUUUUGCUGUCACUUAUAGAUGGAUCCGCGCCGCAUUAGCUAGUUGGUAAGGUAACGGCUUACCAAGGCAACGAUGCGUAGCCGACCUGAGAGGGUGAUCGGCCACACUGGAACUGAGACACGGUCCAGACUCCUACGGGAGGCAGCAGUAGGGAAUCUUCCGCAAUGGGCGAAAGCCUGACGGAGCAACUCCGCGUGAGUGAUGAAGGUCUUCGGAUCGUAAAACUCUGUUAUUAGGGAAGAACAAAUGUGUAAGUAACUAUGCACGUCUUGACGGUACCUAAUCAGAAAGCCACGGCUAACUACGUG